GGGGUUGUGGCUCAGUGGUUGAGUGCUCGCCUAGCACACGUGAGGCACUGGGUUCAAACCUCAACACCA
rnacentral:tRNA from 1 species